rnacentral:rRNA from 1 species
AUUGAACGCUGGCGGCAUGCCUUACACAUGCAAGUCGAACGGCAGCACGGGAGCAAUCCUGGUGGCGAGUGGCGAACGGGUGAGUAAUAUAUCGGAACGUGCCCAGUCGUGGGGAUAACGUAGCGAAAGCUACGCUAAUACCGCAUACUAUCUAUGGAUGAAAGCGGGGGAUCGCAAGACCUCGCGCGAUUGGAGCGGCCGAUAUCAGAUUAGGUAGUUGGUGAGGUAAAGGCUCACCAAGCCGACGAUCUGUAGCUGGUCUGAGAGGACGACCAGCCACACUGGGACUGAGACACGGCCCAGACUCCUACGGGAGGCAGCAGUGGGGAAUUUUUGGGACAAUGGGCGCAAGCCUGAUCCAGCAAUGCCGCGUGCAGGAUGAAGGCCUUC